CAAGCCAACACCCACCUGUCUAGAUUCAGGAAGGUGCAGCACGAGCUUGAGGAGAGUGAGGAGCGUGCUGAUAUCGCUGAAUCCCAGGUCAACAAGCUCAGGACUAAGAGCCGCGAGCUGGGAAAGGUUAAAGAAGCAGCAGAGUAGAAGAGCAUCAGAAGAGUCAAGCUGAAAUGUAGAGAGAUUCAUACAAUAUGAAUUUCACAGUGAAGUAGCUCCUGUAAUAGCGCUGGUAGUGUUUAGUGUUGAAACAAUAAUUGAUUAUUGUGAUGUUAUCGAUCAUGUUUUAUUGCGUUGAGAAAUUAUUAUCGAUAAUCGUAUUAUCAUCCAUUACCCAAUGCGAUACAGAUGUGGGUAAAAGCAGCUCUGCAUUGAAGCAGUAAGCAGCACUGAACUGUCUGUAUGAGGUGUAAAUGUUCUUUCAAAGCAAGUUUCAGAAAACUACAUCUUGUGGAGGCUUCACACCGGCAUAUUUCUCUGUAGGCAUCCAGUGUAAAUGUAUUUUUUAACCAAAAUAUUAUGAAAAAUAUACAUCAGUAUGGCAAAUAGCUAUUUUUCUUUCUGUGUUCAAAAUGAAAGCGUAUAAUAUAUUUCCUCAAUAAUAAUAAUGAGACAUUCAGAUUGAGAGUUUCUGGGUAGGCCUCAGGACUGGCCCUUGACAGGCACCAGAUAGUAUAAAGUCCAGAAAACAGAGA